CAUAGGUUAAUGAGGCGAACCGGGGGAACUGAAACAUCUAAGUACCCCGAGGAAAAGAAAUCAACCGAGAUUCCCCCAGUAGCGGCGAGCGAACGGGGAGGAGCCCAGAGCCUGAAUCAGUGUGUGUGUUAGUGGAAGCGUCUGGAAAGGCGCGCGAUACAGGGUGACAGCCCCGUACACAAAAAUGCACAUGCUGUGAGCUCGAUGAGUAGGGCGGGACACGUGGUAUCCUGUCUGAAUAUGGGGGGACCAUCCUCCAAGGCUAAAUACUCCUGACUGACCGAUAGUGAACCAGUACCGUGAGGGAAAGGCGAAAAGAACCCCGGCGAGGGGAGUGAAAAAGAACCUGAAACCGUGUACGUACAAGCAGUGGGAGCCUCUUAAUGGGGUGACUGCGUACCUUUUGUAUAAUGGGUCAGCGACUUAUAUUCUGUAGCAAGGUUAACCGAAUAGGGGAGCCGAAGGGAAACCGAGUCUUAACUGGGCGUUAAGUUGCAGGGUAUAGACCCGAAACCCGGUGAUCUAGCCAUGGGCAGGUUGAAGGUUGGGUAACACUAACUGGAGGACCGAACCGACUAAUGUUGAAAAAUUAGCGGAUGACUUGUGGCUGGGGGUGAAAGGCCAAUCAAACCGGGAGAUAGCUGGUUCUCCCCGAAAGCUAUUUAGGUAGCGCCUCGUGAAUUCAUCUCCGGGGGUAGAGCACUGUUUCGGCAAGGGGGUCAUCCCGACUUACCAACCCGAUGCAAACUGCGAAUACCGGAGAAUGUUAUCACGGGAGACACACGGCGGGUGCUAACGUCCGUCGUGAAGAGGGAAACAACCCAGACCGCCAGCUAAGGUCCCAAAGUCAUGGUUAAGUGGGAAACGAUGUGGGAAGGCCCAGACAGCCAGGAUGUUGGCUUAGAAGCAGCCAUCAUUUAAAGAAAGCGUAAUAGCUCACUGGUCGAGUCGGCCUGCGCGGAAGAUGUAACGGGGCUAAACCAUGCACCGAAGCUGCGGCAGCGACACUAUGUGUUGUUGGGUAGGGGAGCGUUCUGUAAGCCUGUGAAGGUGGCCUGUGAGGGUUGCUGGAGGUAUCAGAAGUGCGAAUGCUGACAUAAGUAACGAUAAAGCGGGUGAAAAGCCCGCUCGCCGGAAGACCAAGGGUUCCUG
rnacentral:rRNA from 1 species